UACAGAGGGGGCAAGCGUUAUUCGGAAUUAUUGGGCGUAAAGGGCGCGUAGGCGGCCUGGCAAGUGGAAGGUGAAAUCCCUCGGCUUAACCGAGGAACUGCCUCCCAAACUGCUUGGCUUGAGACCGGGAGAGGUGAGUGGAAUUCCCAGUGUAGCGGUGAAAUGCGUAGAUAUCUGGAGGAACACCGGUGGCGAAGGCGGCAUCCUGGACCGACACUGACACUGAGGAGCGAAAGCCAGGGGAGCAAACGGG
rnacentral:rRNA from 1 species